rnacentral:rRNA from 1 species
GACGAGGGGUCCAAGCGUUGUUCAGAAUCAUUGGGCGUAAAGCGGGUGUAGGUGGCUCUAUAAGUCAGAAGUGAAAGCCCCGGGCUUAACCCGGGAAGUGCUUUUGAUACUGCAGAGCUUGAAUGUGGGAGAGGGUAGUGGAAUUCCAGGUGUAGUGGUGAAAUACGUAGAUAUCUGGAGGAACACCGGUGGCGAAGGCGGCUACCUGGCCCAACAUUGACACUGAGACCCGAAAGCGUGGGGAUCAAACAGG